AGGACGAACGCUGGCGGCGUGCUUAACACAUGCAAGUCGAGCGGAAAGGCCCUUCGGGGUACUCGAGCGGCGAACGGGUGAGUAACACGUGAGCAACCUGCCCUUAGCUUCGGGAUAGCUCCGGGAAACCGGAAUUAAUACCGAAUAUGACUGCGGCUGACAUCAGCCACGGUGGAAAGUUUUUCGGCUAAGGAUGGACUCGCGGCCUAUCAGCUUGUUGGUGGGGUAGAAGCCUACCAAGGCGACGACGGGUA
rnacentral:rRNA from 1 species